rnacentral:rRNA from 1 species
GACGAACGCUGGCGGCGUGCUUAACACAUGCAAGUCGAACGCUGAGGCCCUAGCUUGCUGGUGUGGUUGAGUGGCGAACGGGUGAGUAAUACGUGAGUAACCUGCCCUUGACUCUGGGAUAACUUCAGGAAACUGGGGCUAAUACUGGAUACUACAUGUCGCCGCAUGGUGGGGUGUGGAAAGGGUUUGCUGUUUGGGGUUGGGCUGGGGCCCUUUCGGCUGUUUGUUGGGGAAGUGGCUCCCAAGGGGAUGGCGGGUAGGCCGGCUGGGAGGGUGGACGGGCAACAUUGGGAUUGGACACGGCCCAGACUUCCAAGGGGGGCAGGAGGGGGGAAAAUUGCACAAUGGGCCAGAGCCUGAUGGAACGACGGCGGGGGGGGGAUGACGGGCCUCGGGUUGGAAACCUGUUUCAGCAGGGAAGAAGGCACAAGUGACGGUAACGGCAGAAGAAGCGCCGGCUAACUACGUG